GGCUGGUUAGCUCAGUCAGUUGAGCAUGGUGCUAACAACGCUAAGGUCGCGGGUUCAAUUCCCAUUCGGUCC
rnacentral:tRNA from 1 species